rnacentral:rRNA from 1 species
AUUGAACGCUGGCGGCAGGCCUAACACAUGCAAGUCGAGCGGAUGAAGGGAGCUUGCUCCUGGAUUCAGCGGCGGACGGGUGAGUAAUGCCUAGGAAUCUGCCUGGUCGUGGGGGAUAACGUCCGGAAACGGGCGCUAAUACCGCAUACGUCCUGAGGGUGAAAGUGGGGGAUCUUCGGACCUCACGCUACCAGAUGAGCCUAGGUCGGAUUAGCUAGUUGGUGGGGUAAAGGCCUACCAAGGCGACGAUCCGUAACUGGUCUGAGAGGAUGAUCAGUCACACUGGAACUGAGACACGGUCCAGACUCCUACGGGAGGCAGCAGUGGGGAAUAUUGGACAAUGGGCGAAAGCCUGAUCCAGCCAUGCCGCGUGUGUGAAGAAGGUCUUCGGAUUGUAAAGCACUUUAAGUUGGGAGGAAGGGCAGUAAGUUAAUACCUUGCUGUUUUGACGGUACCAACAGAAUAAGCACCGGCUAACUUCGUG